rnacentral:misc_RNA from 1 species
UGAAUUUGCUCUUGCAAUGUGCCCUGCUGAGCCCUUUGUACUCUCUGGAGGGAAAGACAAGUUGGUGGUGUUGUGGAGUAUUCAUGAUCAUAUCUCAACCUUGGCUGCCAAACCAGUGUCUUCAGAGUCUCCUGGAUCUUGUGGCUCCGAUGCAAAACACACCUCUAAGGUUGGUGCGAGUAAUGAUAAACCUAAUGAGAGGCCUUCUAUUGGGCCACGGAGUAUCUACCAAGGGCAUGAUGAUACUGUUGAAGAUGUUCAAUUCCACCCAUCAAGUGCACAGGAAUUCUGUAGCAUAGGAGAUGAUUCAUGUCUUAUACUGUGGGAUGCAAGAACUGGCUCUAGUCCAGUUGUCAAGGUUGAGAAAGCACAUAAUACUGAUCUUCAUUGUGUUGACUGGAAUGCUCAUGAUGUAAAUCUCAUUAUCACGGGAUCUGCUGAUAAUACUGUUCACAUGUUUGAUCGCCGAAAACUCACUUCUGGUGGGUUUGGAUCACCUAUUCAUAAAUUUGGGGGUCACAGUGCUGCUGUCCUUUGUGUACAGUGGUCUCCUGACAAGUCAUCUGUCUUUGGAAGCUCUGCAGAGGAUGGGAUUCUAAAUAUCUGGGAUUAUGAGAAGGUUGGUAAAAAGCAAGACUCUGCUGGAUUGAAAUUGCCAAAUGCUCCUUCAGGAUUAUUUUUCCGACAUGCGGGGCAUAGGGACAAGGUUGUUGAUUUUCAUUGGAAUGCUUCUGACCCAUGGACAAUUGUCAGUGUUUCUGAUGAUUGUGAAAGUACUUCAGGAGGUGGUACUCUGCAGAUAUGGCGGAUGAUUGACUUGAUUUACAGGCCGGAGGAGGAGGUCCUUGCAGAACUGGAUAAGUUUAAAUCUCACAUUCUCGCAUGUGAUAAAAGCUAGAACUUACUAGUUUUCCUGAAACUGAGAUACUGAACGGUGGGGAGCAAAUGCGUCUUUGUUAGUAUAGUCCUUUCUUUUGGCAAUUUUAGUUGCUUUGUAAUCUUCUUUAGAGUUAGAGAGAUGUUUAACGUUAAGGUGACCAAUCAUUGGUGACCAUAACCUUAUUCUUACCAUGUUCCGUUCCUCUUUGUCUGUGUAUUUUCAAGUGCUCUUUAUGUUAAAAAUGCAACUUCUGCUUUGAACAAAUGAAAAUGCAAG